UGAGUAACGCGUGGGUGACCUGCCUUCGAGCGGGGGAUAACGUUCCGAAAGGGACGCUAAUACCGCAUAACAUCCUGCCUUUGAAGAGGUGGAGAUCAAAGCCGGGGAUCGCAAGACCUGGCACUUGAAGAGGGGCCCGCGUCUGAUUAGCUAGUUGGUGAGGUAACGGCUCACCAAGGCAUCGAUCAGUAUCCGGCCUGAGAGGGCGGACGGACACACUGGGACUGAGACACGGCCCAGACUCCUACGGGAGGCAGCAGUGGGGAAUUGUUCGCAAUGGGCGCAAGCCUGACGACGCAACGCCGCGUGGAGGAUGAAGAUUUUCGGAUCGUAGACUCCUGUCGAAUGGGACGAAAAGAUUGCGGGUGAACAGCCCGCGGUCCUGACGGUACCGUUAAAGGAA
rnacentral:rRNA from 1 species